AUAAAAGUAAGCUAAUUAAAGCUUGUGGGUUCAUACCCCAUUUAUGGUUUUCCCUUUUAUA
rnacentral:tRNA from 1 species